rnacentral:rRNA from 1 species
UAAAGUUUUUGAAAACUGGCUCAGGAUGAACGCUGGCGGCGUGCCUAACACAUGCAAGUCGAGCGAUCUCUUCGGAGAGAGCGGCGGACGGGUGAGUAACGCGUGGGUAACCUGCCCUGUACACACGGAUAACAUACCGAAAGGUAUACUAAUACGGGAUAACAUAUGAAAGUCGCAUGGCUUUUGUAUCAAAGCUCCGGCGGUACAGGAUGGACCCGCGUCUGAUUAGCUAGUUGGUAAGGUAAUGGCUUACCAAGGCAACGAUCAGUAGCCGACCUGAGAGGGUGAUCGGCCACACUGGAACUGAGACACGGUCCAGACUCCUACGGGAGGCAGCAGUGGGGAAUAUUGCACAAUGGGCGAAAGCCUGAUGCAGCAACGCCGCGUGAGCGAUGAAGGCCUUCGGGUCGUAAAGCUCUGUCCUCAAGGAAGAUAAUGACGGUACUUGAGGAGGAAGCCCCGGCUAACUACGUGCCAGCAGCCGCGGUAAUACGUAGGGGGCUAGCGUUAUCCGGAAUUACUGGGCGUAAAGGGUGCGUAGGUGGUUUUUUAAGUCAGAAGUGAAAGGCUACGGCUCAACCGUAGUAAGCUUUUGAAACUAGAGAACUUGAGUGCAGGAGAGGAGAGUAGAAUUCCUAGUGUAGCGGUGAAAUGCGUAGAUAUUAGGAGGAAUACCAGUAGCGAAGGCGGCUCUCUGGACUGUAACUGACACUGAGGCACGAAAGCGUGGGGAGCAAACAGGAUUAGAUACCCUGGUAGUCCACGCCGUAAACGAUGAGUACUAGGUGUCGGGGGUUACCCCCCUCGGUGCCGCAGCUAACGCAUUAAGACCCCGCCUGGAG